GAUGAACGCUAGCUACAGGCUUAACACAUGCAAGUCGAGGGGUAACGAGAGGAAAGCUUGCUUUCCUUGUCGACGACCGGCGCACGGGUGAGUAACGCGUAUCCAACCUGCCCCCAACUAGGGAAUAACCUCGCGAAAGUAAGACUAAUACCCUAUAAUUUCCUCAGAUGUCAUCUGACGAGGAAUAAAGAUUUAUCGGUUGGGGAUGGGGAUGCGUCUGAUUAGCUUGUUGGCGGGGUAACGGCCCACCAAGGCAACGAUCAGUAGGGGUUCUGAGAGGAAGGUCCCCCACAUUGGAACUGAGACACGGUCCAAACUCCUACGGGAGGCAGCAGUGAGGAAUAUUGGUCAAUGGGCUGAAGCCUGAACCAGCCAAGUAGCGUACAGGAUGACGGCCCUAUGGGUUGUAAACUGCUUUUAUACAGGAAUAAAGUUAGCCACGUGUGGUUAUUUGUAGGUACUGUAUGAAUAAGGACCGGCUAAUUCCGUGCCAGCCGCCGCGGUAA
rnacentral:rRNA from 1 species